AGUUGUUUACCUCCAGCCUUUGUCUUUCGUUAAUUUAAAACCAAUCCACAUGGUCUAGGUAUCCGUAAGCAUUUGCAUCACUGCCAACCUUACUGGAUGACGACAGGGCGGAAAGGCUUGUCCAUGUCAGUGGAUUUUCAGCGACAAAGAUGAUGUUUCCGAGGUUCAUUCGUCGGUCCAAGAACUUGUGCUGAGAAGACACCGAUGUCUGAUAUGUCAACCGUUCCCUCAGACGCAGGCUGUUCUUGGAUCCAGUAGAAGCCACAGUCAUGUACUCCGAGUGGAGGUCUCUGCACCUGGUGGUCCAGAACGACCAGGGCAAUGUGAGCGUCCUUCACUCCUACCCGGCUCCGGUGGGACGGGAUGUGGCCAACGCCGUGGUCCGGCCCCUGGGAGCCAGCCUGGGGGGCCCCACGUCAGAGAGCUUUCUGAAGACAGAUAAAGAGGUGAAAUGGACUAUGGAGGUGCUGUGCUACGGCCUGACCCUGCCUCUGGACGGCGACACGGUGAAGCUCUGCGUGGACGUCUACACAGACUGGCUCAUGGCCCUGGUGUCCCCGCGAGACUCCAUACCUCAGCCCAUCAUCAAAGAGCCCAACCUCUACGUCCAGACCAUUCUCAAGCACCUGCACAACCUCUUCUUGCCAAGGCCAGAGCACUACAGCCCGAUGCACUUCCGCCUGUGCCAGCAGGUGCUGUGUGCAGUACAGAAGCUGGCUCGUGACUCCUCCUCCAUGGUGCGCGAGACCUGGGAAGUGUUGCUCCUCUUCCUGCUACGCAUCAACGACAGCCUGCUUGCACCGCCCACCGUAGGAGGCGGCAUUGCAGAGAAGCUGGCUGAGAAGCUGAUCAGCGUGCUGUUUGAGGUGUGGUUCCUGGCCUGCACACGCUGCUUCCCCACGCCGCCCUACUGGAAGACGGCCAGGGAGAUGCUGGCCAACUGGAGGCACCAUCCGCCCGUGGUGGAGCAGUGGAGCAAAGUCAUCGCCGCCCUCACCUCCAGAUUAUUGCGGUUCACGUACGGCCCCUCGUUCCCGCCGUUCAAGGUCCCAGAGGAGGACGCCAACCUCAUCCCCUCGGAGACGGACAACGACUGCGUGGCCCAGACAUGGUUUCGUUUUCUGCACAUGCUGAGCAACCCGGUGGACCUGAGCAACCCGGUGAUCGUGAGCUCCACGCCAAAGUUCCAGGAGCAGCUCCUUGGGGUGAGCGGGGUGCCCCAGGAGGUGGUGCAGCACCCCUGUCUCAAGCAGCUGCCCCAGAUCUUCUUCCGCGCCAUGAGGGGCAUCAGCUGCCUGGUGGACGCCUUCCUAGGUGUUGCGGUCUUUAAGACACUCAAGCUCCAUGAAAAGCUGCCUUCCUAUGGGUUACAUGAGCUUUCUUCCACAGGAGCCACCAUGUCUCGGGGCUAUAUACGGGACAGACUGCCCUCUUUAGGUGUUGCGGUGUCUAGGAACAAUUUUCGAGACAGGCUGCCAUCUUAUGGUAUAUCCCGCCCCCGUUCAGACAGUGCCCCUCCCACUCCUGUGAACAGGCUAAGCAUGCCUCCGGCCCCAACAACCACGAACACAACACCACCACACAGCCGCCGGCACCGCCCAACGGCCGUUACCAAGACAACCAGCAAGGCCUCAACGACGGGACAGUCCAAGGUGUCGCAUCAGACCUCCUCCUCGUCAUCUCCUCUGUCCAGCCCCAACCAAACAAGCUCUGAACCGCGACCCCUGCCCGCACCUACACGGCCUAAGGUCAACAGUGUCCUCAACCUGUUUGGCCAGUGGCUGUUUGACGCUGCGCUGGUCCACUGCAAACUCCACUCAAGCCUGAGUAGGGACAGCAGCAUGACUGCCACAUAUUUCCAAAUUCUUCUUUCUUAUAAAUCUUCCUUAGCCACUCAGGCAGGGGUUGAGCUGAGGAGGAAGGGCUCUCAGAUGUCCACGGACACCAUGGUCUCCAACCCCAUGUUUGAUGCCAACGAGUUCCCCGACAACUACGAGUCCGGCAGGGCCGAGGCGUGUGGCACCCUCUGCCGCAUCUUCUGCAGCAAGAAAACCGGAGAGGAGAUUCUGCCCGUCUACUUGUCCAGGUUCUACAUGGUUCUGAUCCAGGGCCUCCAGAUAUCGGACUACAUCUGCCGGCCGGUCCUGGCUAGCAUCAUCCUCAACUCGUCUGCUCUGUUCUGCUCGGACCUGAAAGGCAUCAACGUGGUGGUGCCAUACUUCAUCUCGGCUCUGGAGAACAUCCUGCCUGACCGGGAGUUGUCGAAGUUUAAAUCGUAUGUGAACCCCACGGAGCUGCGACGAGCCUCCAUCCACAUCCUGCUGUCCAUGCUGCCCCUGCCACACCACUUCGGCAACGUCAAAUCAGAGGUCCUUCUGGAAGGGAAAUUCAGUAAUGAUGACUCACUCCACGACAAGGCAGUCACCUUCCUGUCCCUCAAACUGCGAUUGGUCAAUAUUUUGAUUGGCGCGCUGCAGACAGAGACCGACCCAACCAACACACAAAUGAUUCUUGGGGCCAUGCUGAAUAUUGUGCAAGAUUCAGCUCUGCUAGAGUCAAUCGGUGCCCAAGCUGAAGUGGUCAGUUUGGAUGGCAGUCACUCCCUGGCUAAGAGCCACAGCAGAAACAACAGCGGCAUCAGCACUGCCAGCGCAGGCAGCUCAGAGGCCACCACGCCCGACAGCGAAAGACCCGCACAGGCUCUGCUCCGAGACUACGCUCUCCACACAGAUACAGCCAGCGGCCUCCUCAUCCGCAGCAUCCACCUGGUCACCCAGCGGCUCAACUCCCAGUGGCGGCCCGACAUGAGCAUCUCGCUGGCGGCCCUCGAGCUCCUCGCUGGCCUGGCCAAGGUGCGGGCGAGUGUGGAGUCGUCGGACAGGAAACGCGCGGUGAGCUCUGUCUGCAGCUACAUCGUGUACCAGUGCAGUCGCCCGGCGCCGCUGCACUCCCGAGACCUCCACUCCAUGAUCGUGGCCGCCUUCCAGUGCCUGUGCGUCUGGCUCACCGAGCACCCGGACAUGCUCAACGAGAAGGACUGCCUGAUUGAGGUGCUUGAGAUCGUAGAGCUGGGCAUUUCUGGGAGCAAGUCCAAGACGGGCGAACAGGAAGUGAGGUACAAGGCUGACAAGGAGCACAACCCCGCCUCCAUGAGAGUGAAGGAUGCAGCUGAGGCCACCCUGUCAUGCAUCAUGCAGGUGCUGGGGGCCUUCCCCUCCCCCAGUGGGCCAGCGUCCCCCUGCAGUCUGCUGAACGAGGAGACGCUGAUCAAGUACUCGCGCCUCACCUCCACCAGCCACAGCAACUUCCGCUACUUUGUCCUGGACAACUCAGUCAUCCUGGCCAUGCUGGAGCAGCCGCUGGGCAACGAGCAGACAGACCCGUGUCCUUCCAUCACCAUGCUGAUCCGUGGUAUGUCCGGUCGCCACGCCUGGACCAUGCAGCUCUUCCAUCAACCGCGAGGAGCCAGGGCCAGUCAAAAGCAGGUGUUCGUCCCCGAGGCUCGGCCCACACCAAAGAACGACGUGGGCAUCCGCUUCAACGUCAAGCACAGGCCCUUCCCCGAGGAGGUGGACAAGAUCCCCUUCGUCAAGGCUGACCUCAGCAUCCCAGACCUGCACGACAUCGUGGACAAGGAGGCUGGGUGCUCCAGGAGGCGGAGCUCCACGCCACGGCACACAGAUCCUGUUCUGGAGCUGCAGCAUGAGCGUCUGCGUGGGGUGAUGGGGAAGCAGAUGGAGUACGAGUCGGCGCUGGAGCAGUACAGCGAGCAGCUCUGGAGGAAGCGCAGCUUCCCCGACCCCGACUGCAAGCCACCGCCCCCCUCCCAGGAGUUCCAGACUGCCCGCCUCUUCCUCUCCCACUUCGGCUUCCUCUCUCUGGAGGCACUCAAGGAGCCGGGAAACAGCCGGCUGCCUCCGCACCUCAUCGCCCUGGACUCCUCCCUGCCCGGCUUCUUUGAUGACGUCGGUUACCUUGACCUGUUGCCGGGCCGACCAUGUGACACUGUGUUCAUCUUCUACAUGAAGGCGGGCCAGAAGAGCAGUCAGGAGAUUCUGAGGAACGUGGAGUCAUCGGCUAACGUGCAGAGGCACUUCCUGGAGCUACUGAUGUCCCUGGGCUGGCCGGUGGAAGUGGGCCAGCACCCCGGCUGGACAGGCAGCGUCUACACCAGCUGGACCAUCAACACCACCGCAAACGGCACUGACCACAGCUUUACCGAUGAGUCCGACUCGCUGGGAGACACGGGCGGGGGCGCGUUCAACGGCGAGAGGCGGGUGCUCUACUACGCCGACGCGCUGACCGAGAUCGCCUUCGUGGUGCCAUGCCUGAGCGACUCGUCCGAGGAGUCAUCGGAGAACAGCUUCCCCACAGUGGACUCCGACUCCCAGUUGGAGCUCCUGCCCACCCUGCUGAAGCAGCCAAACCAACUCACGCUGGAGCUCUUCCCCAACCACUCCGACAACAUGGGACCCACACAGAGGAGUCCUACAGUGAAGAGUAAAAAGACUCUCUCAGGCAGAUCCAUUCCUACUCUGGGGCCCGACACUAAAGUGCUUGUGGUUUGGGUGGAGCGCUUCGACGACAUAGAGAACUUCCCUCUGGGCGACCUACUGGCGGAGACUAGCACAGGUGUGGAGACGGCCGUCAACAGCAGCACUUCCUGCAGGACCACGUUCUCAGAGAAAGAUGUGCCUGUGAUCUUCAUCCACCCACUGAAGACGGGACUGUUCCGCAUCAAACUACAUGGGGCCAUGGGCAAGUUCAGCAUGGUUAUUCCUCUGGUGGACGGCAUGGUGGUCAGCCGACGCUCAUUAGGGUUCCUGGUGCGUCAGACGGUGAUAAACGCCUGCAGGCGUAAGCGUCUGGAGAGCGACUCAUACAGUCCGCCCCACGUGCGCCGCAAGCAGAAGAUCGCCGACAUUGUCAACCGCUACCGCAACAAACAGCUGGAGCCCGAGUUCUACACCUCGCUCUUCCAGGAGCCCUAUGCAAGUAAGUGAGAGCGGGAACGUGCUGAAGUUGUUGCUAUGCUGCGCUAUGCGCUGCACUUCAAGGCUACAGCUGCCGAGCAGGACAUACCUGAUGCUCAAGUGGUGGAGAGAGAGAGCAGGCCACGUCUCCAUGGUUACCGAUGCCUAACCUGUUUUCAUCGGUGGGAAAAUAUAUUGGCAUUGUGGGUUGUGAACAGCGAUGCUGGUGUUUCGACUCAGUGCUGCUGUAGGCUACAUUAGUGGCUUACCAUGAGAACGUGUGGAGGGGGUUCCUUUUUCCCCCUCGUCAUCUUUGAGAAAACAGUAGCCAAUUGUCUCGCCACUCCGGGCUUCAGGGACAGAAAACAGAACAGGCUCAUUGUUCAGUGGGUUGUUGCCAUGGAAACGCAUCCCUGAGAGAUGAAAACCAAUCCGCCAUCCGAGCUUAUGUUUUUCU